GAUGAACGCUGGCGGCGUGCCUAACACAUGCAAGUCGAGCGAGAAGUUUGAAAAAUGAGUUUUCGAACAAGUGAUUCAAACGGAAAGCGGCGGACGGGUGAGUAACGCGUAGGCAACCUGCCCCGUGCAGAGGGACAGCCUCGGGAAACCGGGAUUAAGACCUCAUGAUAUCGGGUUAUCACAUGGUAAUCCGGUCAAAGAUUUAUCGGCAUGGGAUGGGCCUGCGUCUGAUUAGCUGGUUGGUGGGGUAACGGCCUACCAAGGCGACGAUCAGUAGCAGAACUGAGAGGUUCAUCUGCCACAUUGGAACUGAGACACGGUCCAAACUCCUACGGGAGGCAGCAGUGAGGAAUAUUGCACAAUGGGCGAAAGCCUGAUGCAGCAACGCCGCGUGAGCGAAGAAGGCCUUUGGGUCGUAAAGCUCUGUCCUUGGGGAAGAAACAAAUGACGGUACCCUUGGAGGAAGCCCCGGCUAACUACGUGCCAGCAGCCGCGGUAAAACGUA
rnacentral:rRNA from 1 species